rnacentral:rRNA from 1 species
UACGGAGGAUGCAAGCGUUAUCCGGAUUUAUUGGGCGUAAAGCGUCCGCAGGUGGCUAUUCAAGUCUGCUGUCAAAGCUCGGAGCUUAACUCCGAAUCGGCGGUGGAAACUGAACAGCUAGAGUGCAGUAGGGGUAGAGGGAAUUCCCAGUGUAGCGGUGAAAUGCGUAGAGAUUGGGAAGAACACCGGUGGCGAAAGCGCUCUACUGGACUGCAACUGACCCUCAGGGACGAAAGCUAGGGGAGCGAAUGGG